GGAAGCCUGGCGUGCUGCAUUUCUUGGGGUCCGCAAAGAGUCGGACACGACAGAACGACUAAACUAACUUAACUGACGGAACCUGCGAGGUUUUGCCCCUCCCGAUGCCACGGCCCUUCUCCAUUUGGUGCCAUCAGAAUUCUCGUCCCACGUCAGCGCAGGCCCGGUGUCUGCCGCAUCCGGGCCACGCCCCUUCCCAAUUUGGCGCUCUCCGAUCUGCCUGCUGGCCCCGCCCCCUUAGGCCCCGCCCCGUCCGUCCUCUAUCCCAAGCGGCUCCGGCGGCCCCAGCCAUAGUCUCAGCUGGGCGCCGGGAGCUGCAACCAUGGCCGUCACCGCUGAGGGCGCCCGCAGGAAGGAGCGCGUCCUCUGCCUGUUUGACGUGGACGGGACCCUCACGCCGGCUCGCCAGAAAAUCGACCCAGAGGUGGCUGCCUUCCUGCAGAAGUUGCGAAGUAGGGUGCAGAUCGGUGUGGUGGGCGGCUCUGACUACUCGAAAAUUGCCGAGCAGCUGGGAGAGGGGGAUGAAGUUAUCGAGAAGUUUGAUUAUGUGUUUGCUGAGAACGGGACGGUGCAGUAUAAGCAUGGACGGCUGCUCUCCAAGCAGACCAUCCAGAACCACCUGGGGGAAGAGCUUCUGCAGGACCUGAUCAACUUCUGCCUCCGCUACAUGGCCCUGCUCAGACUGCCCAAGAAGCGUGGGACCUUCAUCGAGUUCCGGAACGGCAUGCUGAACAUCUCGCCCAUCGGCCGGAGCUGCACCCUGGAGGAGCGAAUCGAGUUCUCCGAACUAGACAAGCCGCCUCAGAGGACAGGGUCUGAGGACAUUGAGGCCAGAGAGCAUGUGAACCAGCCUGAGGACACCGUGCUGGUCUCUGCUAAGGCUGGACUUGAAGGAGAAGAUCCGGGAGAAGUUCGUGGAAGCCCUGAAAACCGAGUUUGCCGGCAAAGGACUGAGAUUCUCCCGUGGAGGCAUGAUCAGCUUUGAUGUCUUCCCCGAGGGCUGGGACAAGCGCUACUGCCUCGACAGCCUGGACCAGGACUGCUUCGACACCAUCCAUUUCUUUGGGAACGAGACCAGCCCUGGCGGGAACGACUUUGAGAUCUACACCGACCCCCGGACCGUCGGCCACAGCGUGGUGUCACCGCAGGACACGGUGCAGCGAUGCCGUGAGCUCUUCUUCCCAGAGACAGCCCACGAGGCGUGACCAGGGCCCAUACCUGCCCCUCGGGACUUCAGGGAGCUCUGCCCACGCCGAGAGAGCCCCUGGCCCAGCGCUGGGGGUGCCAGGCCCCUCCUCUGGCCCAGCACCCCUGCCUCGUGUUAGCUACUGAAGGCCCAGCUCUACGGGCCCAGGGUCUGUGUGGACAGCCACCCGCAGCCGGUCAGCUCCUGGUGGGCCUGGCUUCCAGCCUUCAGCCCGACCCGAUGGCCCUGGCUGCAGCUGCUGCCCGGACUCUUGGCAGAACAGGUCUCUGUCUACGCGGGAAGUGUGUGCGAAUGUUGGUACGAGAUAGAGCCCGCCCUGCCUGCCUGCCCGCCCUCCAUGGGGUGCAGAGCAGUGGGGACCAUGCACAUUCGUGAGAACUUUAUCUCCUGGAUAUUAAACUCUGUGGAGAGUGAUA